CAUACGACCGUACCGCAAACCGACACUGGUGCGCGAGAUGAGUAUUCUAAGGCGCUUGAGAGAACUCAGGAGAAGGAACUCGGCAAAUUGACACCGUAACUUCGGAAGAAGGUGUGCCCUAUUAGUGUGUAGUGAACAACGAAGCAUGAAUGGGUUGCAAAAAAUCGGUGGCUGCGACUGUUUAUUAAAAACACAGCACUCUGCAAACACGAAAGUGGACGUAUAGGGUGUGACGCCUGCCCGGUGCUGGAAGAUUAAAUGAUGGGGUGCAAGCUCUUGAUUGAAGUCCCAGUAAACGGCGGCCGUAACGAUAACGGUCCUAAGGUAGCGAAAUUCCUUGUCGGGUAAGUUCCGACCUGCACGAAUGGCGUAACGAUGGCCACACUGUCUCCUCCUGAGACUCAGCGAAGUUGAAAUGUUUGUGAUGAUGCAAUCUCCCCGCGGAAAGACGGAAAGACCCCAUGAACCUUUACUGUAGCUUUGUAUUGGACUUUGAACAGAUCUGUGUAGGAUAGGUGGGAGGCUUUGAAGCAGGGUCGCUAGAUCUUGUGGAGCCAACGUUGAAAUACCACCCUGGUGUGUUUGAGGUUCUAACCUAGGUCCAUUAUCUGGAUCGGGGACAGUGCAUGGUAGGCAGUUUGACUGGGGCGGUCUCCUCCCAAAGCGUAACGGAGGAGUUCGAAGGUACGCUAGUUACGGUCGGACAUCGUGACGAUAGUGCAAUGGCAUAAGCGUGCUUAACUGCGAGACUGACAAGUCGAGCAGAUGCGAAAGCAGGACAUAGUGAUCCGGUGGUUCUGUAUGGAAGGGCCAUCGCUCAACGGAUAAAAGGUACUCUGGGGAUAACAGGCUGAUACCGCCCAAGAGUUCAUAUCGACGGCGGUGUUUGGCACCUCGAUGCCGGCUCAUCUCAUCCUGGGGCUGUAGCCGGUCCCAAGGGUAUGGCUGUUCGCCAUUUAAAGAGGUACGUGAGCUGGGUUUAAAACGUCGUGAGACAGUUUGGUCCCUAUCUUCCGUGGGCGCUGCAGAUUUGAGGAAGCCUGCUCCUAGUACGAGAGGACCGGAGUGGACACACCUCUGGUGUAUCGGUUGUCACGCCAGUGGCAUUGCCGAGUAGCUAAGUGUGGAAGAGAUAACCGCUGAAAGCAUCUAAGCGGGAAACUCGUUUCAAGAUGAGAUCUGCCGGGGCCUUGAGCCCCCUAAAGAGUCGUUCAAGACCAGGACGUUGAUAGGUCAGGUGUGGAAGUCA
rnacentral:rRNA from 1 species